rnacentral:rRNA from 1 species
CUUGGCGGAGUUUUUUAAAGUAUGUUUUUGUACCGAAAGGUUUUGAUCUUAGAUUUAGUUGUUUAGAAGUGUUGUUUGGCCUGGGUAAGGUCUUGUAAACUAAAUUUAUGUGGUGAUAAGUGAGUCGUAAAGCUUUAUAACUGUUUGGUUGUUUAGAAUUUAGUGGGAUGUAGGUGGCUAUUAGGUCAUUUAUAUUUUUAUACAUUUGGUGAUGUGUGGUUUUUGAUAAGGUUAGAGGUACCUAGUUUUUGUUAUAUUGUUGUAAAUAUGGUUUUGUUGGUUUAUUGGUAUGUUAAUUGUUUGAACAACUGUUUUGCUAUAUUUGGUUAUUAUAUUAUCGUUGAAUAAGUAAUUUUAUUAUGCUAUUUAUUUCUUGAGUUCUUUCCGUCUGUUUAUUAAAAACAUUUCUAAUUUUAAUUGUAGUUAGUAGUGCCUGCCCAAUGUUGGUUAAUUAAUGGCCGCAGUAUAUUGACUGUGCAAAGGUAGCAUAAUUAAUUGCCUUUUAAUUGGAGGCUUGUUUGAAUGGUUUGACGUGAUUGGUAUGAAUAUUUGGUAUUUAGUUGAAAUUGAUUUUGAGGGUUUAGAAUCCUUAAUGUUUAAUAAGACGGAAAGACCCUAGGAUCUUUUGUUUUUGUUUGGGGCAAAUAUUGUUGUUUUAUGAAUAUUGUGACCCU